rnacentral:lncRNA from 1 species
UACAGGAUUGUUCCCAGCUUCACAUUCCCGAUCACACUAUCCAGUUCUUCCACAAGCACCAAGGAAAUACAAAAUGACGUCAAUCUGAAAGGCAGCUUUCUACAAUUGCUUUCUACCCACUUUCCACUUAAAGCACAGAAUGCAUAAGAUACUUGCAUACUUAGGCGCUACAUUACAAGAAACUGCAGUGAAUAUUCAUUUUGGAAUUACACUUUCCCAUCAAUGACAAGGAGAAAUUAACUAAAACAAUAUUUUAUUUCCUACUUU